rnacentral:rRNA from 1 species
GGCACCUUGACGGUACCUAACCAGAAAGCCACGGCUAACUACGUGCCAGCAGCCGCGGUAAUACGUAGGUGGCAAGCGUUAUCCGGAAUUAUUGGGCGUAAAGCGCGCGCAGGCGGUUUCUUAAGUCUGAUGUGAAAGCCCACGGCUCAACCGUGGAGGGUCAUUGGAAACUGGGGGACUUGAGUGCAGAAGAGGAAAGUGGAAUUCCAUGUGUAGCGGUGAAAUGCGUAGAGAUAUGGAGGAACACCAGUGGCGAAGGCGACUUUCUGGUCUGUAACUGACGCUGAGGCGCGAAAGCGUGGGGAGCAAACAGGAUUAGAUACCCUGGUAGUCCACGCCGUAAACGAUGAGUGCUAAGUGUUAGAGGGUUCCGCCCUU